CCUUUCGCACCGAGGCUGUUGCUCCCCAGCACCUUCAUGGUCCCCAACUUGGAAGUAACUUGUGGCCUCAACCCUGUGAAGUCGGAAAUCUUCCUAGCACCCAUAGGGAGAUCAAGGCCAAAGGCAAGUUCAAGGCCAGACUCUGUGACAAACCCAAGGCUGAGGCAUGCCUCAUGAAGACACUGAGCCUGCCAGGACCCCUGGCCUUUAUCAGUGCACACGAGGGGCUGGGGGGCCUGAGGGACGUGUGGUUACAGAAGCCCUUGCUUCAGUCCUCACUGCCCCUUUCCUGGAUGCAGCACCAAAUAAAAAAGAGCAAGUGACAUAUUUUGAGGUUUGGCUCCCUUUCUGCAGGAGGGUGAAGAGAGGGUAGGGUGGGGCUUGGUACCCCAAGGUGCAGAACAAGAGCUGGAGACCAUCAGUAACUCCUCCAUGAAGCAAGGCCCAGAACUCCCACCCAGCGACAGACAUGGGGCACCCUGUUCAGGGACUCCCCUGGCGUGUCUGAUCUCUGGGUGGGGUGCUAAGCCUCAUGGUACAGAUGGAGACAGCCUGCAUGAGGAGACAUGCCUUUCCCAGGAUCGCAUGACUGAGCAGAAGGCUGGGACGCUUCACCAGGACUGCUGACCACUGGGAGUCUCCCCAGUCCCUGAGCCCAGAGGAGGGGCUGGGCUGGCAGCAGAAAGACAUCUAAUGGGCAUGAGAUUUCACAGCAGGGAAGCGUGGACCUUGUUCAACUCCAGCUCUUCCCCAAAAGAAGUGGGUCUGUCCCUUCCUCAGCAAGGGGCCAAGGUCACCUAAAAAGGAAAUAGCCAACCAGCCACAGCCGUCUGAAGAACUUUGGUAUUUCUAAGUUGUAAUGGGUUGAAUGGUUUGGUACCUCCCACUCCUGGCCCUCUAGAAAGAAAUGUCUUCUUGGAACCUGCGACUGUGACUUUAUUUAGAAAAGGGGUCUUUGCAGAUGUAAGUAAGUUGAAGGUUUUGAGAUGCAAUCAUCCUGGAUUAUCUGGAUGGGCCCUAAGACCCAGAACAAGUGUCCUUCUAAGAGAAUAGAAGACACAAAUGAGGAGGCCAUGUGCAGAUAGAGGCAGAGCCAGCAUUGGGACAGAAACAGCCAACUUUAACAACCACAUAUUGAACUCAGCAGAAAGCACGGUCCAUGAUAAACAUUUACUUUCUCAGCAAAUCCUCAAAACGAUACUAUGAGGUUGGUGAGGCCAUGUGACUGAGCUUGCAACGGAACGGAAGUGCAGUUUCAGAGCUGCUCGGAUCUUCCCCUCAGAAGUAGCGGGGAUCCCAUCAGUGACGGCACUGAGAAAGAGGCAGGAGGAGGUCGCCGAGUGGCUUGCUGGAACCUCCCCACUGCCCUGGAACCUCCCAACUCCUCUCACCAGUAGGUGGCUGUGGGUCUCCCAGCUCUCUGUGAGUGGGUGAAGAACUUCUGGAGGCGGCUUGCUGUCUGGGGACAACUGGAGAGGAGUACGAGUCCAGAGGUCUCCCUGGAGGAGGGAGACAAAUCACAAGUUUAAAUCACUUGGGUUCACCCACAAAAAAAGGAGCCCCCCCCCCCGGAAGAAACACUGCUCUGCUUAAGGCGGUAACACUAGGACUAUAACCCAGACGUCUUCCUGAGAAACAAGUUUUCACAUGGCUGGCUCUUCAAGUGUCACCAUCACAAAGAGGCCUGACUCCUCAAUCUACUGUCUGCUCCCCUCCUGCAGUUCCUCACCAUGCUACCUUCAGUACGUCAACCAGCUCCUCCCGACUGAGGCUCUGUGGCCGCAGCAGCCCCGGGAAAGGCUGGUUCCCCACGGGUCGGAACCAUUUGCUGGAGCCUCGAGGUUGCAGCUGAUGCCUGGAAAAGGUAGGACCUUUCCAGCCUUCCAGAUGGAACCCCACCCUCACCUUGUAAAGAACAGAAGCAAAGAAGAUGUAUCAACCUAAAUCAUUUAUUGCGAACUCUGAUGUCACACAUUCGUAGGCUUGACAAUUGACUCGGGAGCAUUUGGGACGGGAGG